AGGCAUGUGAAAACUCGACUAGAAAACCCGAGACUGGUCUGCAUCCUCCUCUGAUCACAAAAGAAAUGGAUAAGGUCAUGUAAGACGAUGAAAUAUGUGGGCUCAAAAGAUGUAAGGCUCUAAUAAGAUGGGUGCAGGUAUAACAGUGUCCAAUGUAGGAUGUAUAGGUGUGUAACAAAGGAAAGUGGGUACCCAAAUCAAACUAGGUAUGCUAAGGAGACUGAGCCCAGGGUGCCAACAACUCUAUAAUCCAUCAAGAGCAGCGAUCAUAAACAAGAAAUGGAGUCUCAAUGUCAAAAUCAGCAAGGUGGCUAUGCCCCAGUAUGAAUGCAUCAUCUCAGAGUGGGUAAGCUCUCAAUGCAGAAUGAUCUCCGGAAAGUAAGUGUCUGGUAUAAACUGUCAUCUCACAAAAUCAUCGCCAAGACGAGUGGGGUAUGCCCUAGUGUAAGCAUCUCCAAAUCAAACAUCCAUGAGAAGAAUACAACCAAUCAUACCUCAUCUGAUCAAAAUGAACAUCUGCUCAUCAAAGCCAUCGUGGUAAUGUGAAGAGAAUAUCUGACCUUCCCCAAAGAAAAGAGCAUGUCCCAAUGUGAACAACCGCCAAUGAAAGGGUUAUGCCCCAGUAUAGGGCAAACCCUGAAAUGACUAAACUCCGCAGUAUGCUCUCAUAAGUGUCUGUGUCCUGAUCCAAUCAUCUCAAAAAUAUGUCAACAAUGAUGAGAAGGCUAUGCUCCUGUGAUCAUAUCAAAGAAAUCACCCGAUCAUAUCUCGUACUCCAAUGUGAAAUGAAUCUAAUCGCCUCCAAGGAACAUCUAUGCCUAAAAACCAUCAUCGACCGAAAGGGGUAUGCCCCUGUGUAAAGUACACCAGAUGAAAUGCGCCAAUCAUGUCUCAUGCUCCAAUGUGAAAAAGGACAUCUGAUAUCCUCCAAGGAAUGGACAUGGCUCAAAAAAUCCAUCAUCGACUGAGAAGAGUAUGCCUCGGCAUAAUGGUCAUCCGAUAAUAAAACUCUCUGAGAUGGCUAUGCCCCAGUGUAGGGUCAUACCAUAACUCCUGGUCCAUCACAAGCAGAAUGCUCCUGAAUCAAUCCCAAGUAUCGCUCAUAUAAGAGCUAUCAAACACAACGUGUGAUGUCAUGGCCUCAGGGUGGUCUUAAGACACGGGACGUAACGUAGGCUAGGGUGAUAGGGUGAUAGAAAUGAAGGGAAACUAGGCCCAAAUACCCAAUGAUCAAAACCCAUGCCCUCAUGUAUAAAAUGCAACAUAUAUAGAAAAUAUCGUGAGCCAUGGACCUGAAGAUGCCUACUGUGAACA
rnacentral:lncRNA from 1 species